AGCUUUGCGCAGUGGCAGUAUCGUAGCCAAUGAGGUUUAUCCGAGGCGCGAUUAUUGCUAAUUGAAAACAAAUGGAUGUGAAUCUAAAAUUAUCUCAAAAUAAAAAGUAUAAUUUAAAAUUUUUGAGGUGCCUGGGGUA
rnacentral:snRNA from 1 species